rnacentral:sRNA from 1 species
AGGAAGGUGAUCUACUGUGACAUUUACAUCCCUUGGUGGCCAAGACUGGGUUGCCCGGCCUGGCAGAAUGGAGGAUGUCUGCUUCCUCCCUCACCCACCUGGAUGAGCCUCUUUGGUCCACCAAGCCAAAGAGGUUGGGUUUCUCAGCGCAUGCAGAUCUGUCGAAAUGCUUUAGUCAAAGGUGGGGGAAUAUCCGUGCUUUUCUGGCAGAAAAGCUAAAGACUCUCUCAGCAUUCCUAGCUGGGUGGCCAGGAUUUACACAGAAGGCAGAUGGAUUUAGGCUUGCCCUUCUGGGACUGGGAUGGCUAUCACU